rnacentral:misc_RNA from 1 species
UACGUAGGGCGCAAGCGUUAUGCGGAGUUAUUGGGCGUAAAGAGCUCGUAGGCGGUGUGUCGCGUCUUCCGUGGAAGUCCGGGGCUCAACUCCGGAUCUGCGGGGGGUAAGGGCAGACUAGAGUGAUGUAGGGGAGACUGGAAUUCCUGGUGUAGCGGUGAAAUGCGCAGAUAUCAGGAGGAACACCGAUGGCGAAGGCAGGUCUCUGGGCAUUAACUGACGCUGCGGAGCGAAAGCAUGGGGAGCGAACAGG